GCCUUCGUGGUGUAAUGGUCAGCACACUGAGCUGGUAUUUCAGAUGUCCGUGGUUCGAUUCCCGGCGAAGGCG
rfam:Stegodyphus mimosarum contig66093, whole genome shotgun sequence.